rnacentral:rRNA from 1 species
UACGUAGGUGGCGAGCGUUGUCCGGAUUUACUGGGCGUAAAGCGCGCGUAGGCGGUCUGAUCAGCCGGUUGUGAAAGCCCCGGGCUCAACCUGGGAACGGCAUCCGGAACUGUCAGGCUAGAGUGCAGGAGAGGAAGGUAGAAUUCCCGGUGUAGCGGUGAAAUGCGUAGAGAUCGGGAGGAACACCAAUGGCGAAGGCAGGUCUCUGGGCAGUUACUGACGCUGAGGAGCGAAAGCAUGGGUAGCGAACAGGAUUAGAUACCCU